rnacentral:lncRNA from 1 species
UUUGUAUUCUGACCUUUUUGCUUCAUUCCAGCAAAAAUUUUCACUUGCUUGUACGGUGGAAAUAAAAUGUGUAUUGUUUUGUGACACUUAGAGAAUGUUGAAUGCGUAGUUAAACUUAAGGUAAUUAAAAGAUUAGCAUUAUGUAAUUCCAAUCUUUUGAUCUUCGUUCAGUGAAAUCUAGGCGUCACGGCUCACUGGCAUUUCAGGUGUGAACAACAUUUCGUAUCGGAAUGGUAAACGGGAGUCAGUCAUAGUUUUAGACACAGAAAUGUAAAAAAAAAAAGAAUUACAAUUAAUUAACGGGAAUAAUAAGGUCGCACAAUAACUGG